ensembl:lncRNA
GGGAGGGAAGGGCAGGGCCGUUCCCGACGCCGUUGCCGUGUGUUGCGGACCCCGCGUGGCCGCGCGCCGGCCUCUCAGUCACGGGCUGGCACAGUGUGUCCCUCAGAGCCGACCUGCGCCAGGACAGGUGGCCGCCUCAGCCCCAGUCUGGCACCAGCGCUCACCUUCACCGCACUCCUGGUGCCUCACUGCGUGCGUUUAAUGGCUGCUUGCUGAAGUCUGUACGCAGCCGUGUGCUUGGAGAUGUGCCCCCCUCGCUGCGACCGAAGGGAAAUGUGAUCAGAAAGGAGAUGUGAAUUGGUCUGGGCUACCUGCUUGCAGGGAGGGCCUCUGCGCCGUGCCCCUCACUACAACACACUGAGGCCCUGGAGUGUGUCCAGAGAAGGGCAACAGAACUGUGAGGGGUCUGGAGCACAAGUCUGUGGGGAGCGGCUGAGGGAACAGGGAUUGAUCAGUGUGGAGUAGAGGGGGCUCAGGGGUGACCCUAUUGCUCUCUACAACUGCUUGAAAGGAGGUUAUGGCGAGAUGGGGGUCAGCCUCUUUUCUCAGGUAACAGCCAUAGGAUGAGGGGCGGUGGUCCCAAGUUGCACCAUGGGAGCUUCAGGCUGGAUGGUAGGAAAAACUUACUAGGAAGGGUGGUCGGGCACUGGAAUGGCCUGCCCAGGGAGGUGGUGUAGUCGCCAUCCCUGGAGGCAUUCAAGACACAUGGAUGUGGCACUGAGGGACAUGGUUAGUGGGCAUGGUGGGGACGGGCUGAUGAUUGGACUAGAUGAUCUUAGAGGUCUUUCCCAACCUGAUUCUGUGGAGCCUUCUUUGCCACAGGUUCGGCCCAGGUGUUUGGUUUAGUACUGGUAGGCACCUCCAUUGUAUUAUUGUGAAUGGUUAUUUUAGUAAACAUGGGUUGAACCUUCAAGACCAGCGGAAAGAAUUCCUGUUCCUCUAAAUUGUAUGCAAAAUUUGAUUGGAGAGCAAAACGGGAGCCGACAUACUUGCUUGGCCACAUUCUGAUAUGUUUCUAAAUGGCUGGAAAUAGAAGCACCUUUUGCACAGAAUCAGAAGCCACAUGGCAGGUCCGGUGGCCUGCAUCCCAAGGGUGGUUCCAGGGGUGGACCAACACAUUUGCCAUUGGCCCUUUGUAUUUUUGCUGUCACAGGGAUGCGGAGUUUCAUGUGGGGGAAUCACUGACAGGUCAGCUUCAGUUGUUUGAUUUCAAUCCUGAUUGCCUCUCUAUGGGGAGAGCUCCCUAGAUACAAGGAAAAAAUCUUUUAGAGUGAGGGUGGUGAGGCAGUGAGGUUACCUAGUGUUGUGGUUGAUGUCCUGUCCCUGGAGGCUUUCAAGGCGAGCCUGGAUAAGGCCCUGGGCAACCUGAUCUAGCUGUGGUGUCCCUGUUCACUGCAGGGGAGUUGGACUAGAUGGCCUUUGGAGUUCUCUUUUAACUCUAAGGAUUCUAUGGUUCUAUGAGAGGUGGUGUAUCUUAAGAGAUAGCAGGUGGUCAUUCAUUUUUUCCAGCGUGGCUUCUUAAAUGAGUCAUUUGACUCUUAAAACACUGGAGUGCUACAGGAUAAAAAUAAACUAGAAAGUAUUUCUCUUAUUUGGUGAUAGGAGGGUGUGAUGGUUGUGUCAGAACGAUCUUGGCUUCAGCAGCAGUGCUGUAUUACAGUUUGGGAAGAUGGAGGAGUCGCAGCGACGUGAAGAAAUGCGGAGGUGUGUGAAAAUAGCACUGAAAAUGCAACUUAGAAGAAAAGACGUUCAGUUAAAGCACACGAGGACAAGCCUAGAAACCUGUUCUGGCAGUCCUCAGCUGAAAGUACAUCCUUCACCUCACCGAAGUCAGAUGCUUCUUCAGCACCCAGUGCCUCCAUACAGCAGCACGAUGAAUUCCAGCCACUACAUAUGGAUCUGCUUACGGAGUGCCGAGGACCUACAGGGGAAGAAAGAGGCACGUGUCCCCUCAUGGCUGGCACGAGUAUGUUACCUGUGUGCUUUAGAUGUCAUCCAGUUACAUUCUGCCUCACUUUCGCAACAAGGUGGUGACCGAAAGGCUUUGUUUCCUUAACUGCCCGUGUACGUUGCAGCUCGACCUCUUGGUACAAUCGUACGAGGAAAAUGCCACCUGCACCGUUGGUUCUAAAAGCCUACGGACAAAGCAGCGUCGUAACCACCGGCAACAUAACCACGUCGAUGCCGGGAUUUGAGCUGACAGCCGACGCGUGCCGCAGGCGGCGCUGGAAAGGAGCGGCGGG